CAGGAGGCAUCUUUACUACGUUUACAUCCGCAAUUUUUAGUCUUUAUCAUCAAAAGAGAUUUGAAAUACUUAUGAAAAGACUUGCUAAAGUGGAUGAUACUUUAGAAGAACUUGGCACUCCAAAAAUGUAUCGGAAAAUGUAUAUGCAGUCAAAACGAGUGAUAAUUUAUUGGAUUAUAUAUAUUUUUACCGUAUUUAUUUGUGAAAUAAUAUUACAGUGGUAUAUGAAUGAUAUGAUGUUUCCUUGGGAUAUUAUUACAUUUAAUAUAACAUAUUAUUAUCAUCAUAUCAACGCAUUCAUAGAUUUGUUGUUUAUAUUGUUUCUACGAUAUAUUGGUAGCAGAUUUGAUAAAGUAAGCGAACAUAUGCAAAGCUUGUUAGAAGAAAUGGAACAUGAGUUGAGAUGCACAUGGAAAAAAUCUGUAAUUGUGCAUAAAUAUUCUUUACAUAUUAAUAAUUACAAGCGAACA